rnacentral:rRNA from 1 species
CGUAAAGGGUCGUAGGGUGGUUUGUUAAGUCAGAUGUGAAAGCCCAGGGCUCAACCUUGGAACUGCAUUUGAUACUGGCAAACUAGAGUAUGGUAGAGGAAUGGGGAAUUUCUGGUGUAGCGGUGAAAUGCGUAGAGAUCAGAAGGAACACCAAUGGCGAAGGCAACAUUCUGGACCAAUACUGACACUGAGGGACGAAAGCGUGGGGAUCAAACAGGAUUAGAUACCCUGGUAGUCCACGCUGUAAACGAUGAGUACUAGCUGUUGGAUUCGGUGUAAAGGAUCUAGUGGCGUAGCUAACGCGUUAAGUACUCCGCCUGGGGACUACGGCCGCAAGGCUAAAACUCAAAGGAAUUGACGGGGACCCGCACAAGCGGUGGAGCAUGUGGUUUAAUUCGAUGCAACGCGAAGAACCUUACCUGGUCUUGACAUCCUGCGAACUUUCUAGAGAUAGAUUGGUGCCUUCGGGAACGCAGUGACAGGUGCUGCACGGCUGUCGUCAGCUCGUGUUGUGAAAUGUUGGGUUAAGUCCCGCAACGAGCGCAACCCCUAUUGAUAGUUACCAUCAUUAAGUUGGGUACUCUAUUGAGACUGCCGCUGACAAGGCGGAGGAAGGUGGGGACGACGUCAAGUCAUCAUGGCCCUUACGACCAGGGCUACACACGUGCUACAAUGGGUAUUACAGAGGGCAGCGAAGUAGCGGUAUGGAGCGAAACUCAGAAAGGUACUCUUAGUCCGGAUUGCAGUCUGCAACUCGACUGCAUGAAGUCGGAAUCGCUAGUAAUCGCAGGUCAGAAUACUGCGGUGAAUACGUUCCCGGGUCUUGUACACACCGCCCGUCACACCAUGGGAGUGGGUUGCUCCAGAAGUAGAUAGCUUAAC